rnacentral:rRNA from 1 species
GUAGGUGGCAAGCGUUGUCCGGAAUUAUUGGGCGUAAAGCGCGCGCAGGCGGUUCUUUAAGUCUGAUGUGAAAGCCCACGGGCUCAACCGUGGAGGGUCAUUGGAAACUGGAGAACUUGAGUACAGAAGAGGAAAGCGGAAUUCCACGUGUAGCGGUGAAAUGCGUAGAGAUGUGGAGGAACACCAGUGGCGAAGGCGGCUUUCUGGUCUGUAACUGACGCUGAGGCGCGAAAGCGUGGGGAGCAAACAGGAUUAGAUACCCUGGUAGUCCACGCCGUAAACGAUGAGUGCUAAGUGUUAGGGGGUUUCCGCCCCCCUAGUGCUGCAGCUAACGCAUUAAGCACUCCGCCUGGGGAGUACGGCCGCAAGGCUG